rnacentral:rRNA from 1 species
UACGUAGGGUGCAAGCGUUGUCCGGAAUUAUUGGGCGUAAAGAGCUCGUAGGCGGUUCGUCGCGUCGGCUGUGAAAACCUGAGGCUCAACCUCAGGCCUGCAGUCGAUACGGGCGGACUUGAGUACUGCAGGGGAGACUGGAAUUCCUGGUGUAGCGGUGAAAUGCGCAGAUAUCAGGAGGAACACCGGUGGCGAAGGCGGGACUCUGGGCCGAUACUGACGCUGAGGAGCGAAAGCGUGGGGAGCAAACAGG